rnacentral:lncRNA from 1 species
AGCAUAGAAAGGAAGUGAAAAGUUAAUUAGGUAAGUGGUGGCCUAAGUCACUAUUUUGUUCCGUCUGUCUGCCUUGGGUGUUGAUGACCAACGAGUGACCUGUUACUCACUGACUGGAAACAUAAUCAUAGUCGGCAUAACAACGAAUCGUUGUAUUAAGAGAAAAACAAAAGUGAAUUUGCUGUUAGUUUUCGAGUUCAUCUGACUAUUCCAGAGCUUGACAACUCACGGAGACGGUGAGGAUGCGCUGUCUUCACAGUUUUCUCGACCACGUUGAAAGUCUACCUGCGCGAAACUGAAGGGUUCACCUUCCCACAGCGUAUCUCAGAUCAUCGACACUUCUAUUGUGCAGCGAGGAGCAAAAGAAUGCUCCUGGCACAAGAUGUCUGAUUUACAGGCGAGCAGUGGAACCUUAGAUAUUCUCUGCUACGACUCAACUCACCACAAAAAAAAACAGAGAAGCAAGUUUUUAUGAGGAACAGAACAUUUUCUCAGUACUGUUUCAAUAAAUACUGACUUUUGAAAAAAAUCACCUUCCAACAACCAUAUCUGAGAGCGGAAUUUGUUAGUCUACCCAAGAGGGAAACAGACCCAGGAUUAAGCGAUGAAAAGUACAUAGAGAAAGAGAAACACAAGGAAGGAGGAAUAGGAACAAAUACAAGAGAUUUAAGCGCUCUUUCAUUCCUCUCCACUCAUCCUUGGACCAGAC